rnacentral:rRNA from 1 species
GUGCCAGCAGCCGCGGUAAUACGUAGGGUGCGAGCGUUAAUCGGAAUUACUGGGCGUAAAGCGUGCGCAGGCGGUUUUGUAAGACAGAUGUGAAAUCCCCGGGCUUAACCUGGGAACUGCAUUUGUGACUGCAAGGCUAGAGUAUGGCAGAGGGGGGUAGAAUUCCACGUGUAGCAGUGAAAUGCGUAGAGAUGUGGAGGAAUACCGAUGGCGAAGGCAGCCCCCUGGGCCAAUACUGACGCUCAUGCACGAAAGCGUGGGGAGCAAACAGGAUUAGAUACCCUGGUAGUCC